UGGGGAAUUUUGGACAAUGGGGGAAACCCUGAUCCAGCCAUCCCGCGGUGUGCGAUGAAGGCCUUCGGGUUGUAAAGCACUUUUGGCAGGAAAGAAACGUCGCGGGUUAAUACCCCGCGGAACUGACGGUACCUGCAGAAUAAGCACCGGGCUAACUACGUGCCAGCAGCCGCGGUAAUACGUAGGGUGCAAGCGUUAAUCGGAAUUACUGGGCGUAAAGCGUGCGCAGGCGGUCCGGAAAGAAAGAUGUGAAAUCCCAGAGCUUAACUUUGGAACUGCAUUUUUAACUACCGGGCUAGAGUGUGUCAGAGGGAGGUGGAAUUCCGCGUGUAGCAGUGAAAUGCGUAGAUAUGCGGAGGAAUACACCGGAUGGCGAAGGCAGCCUCCUGGGAUAACACUGACGCUCAUGCACGAAAGCGUGGGGAGC
rnacentral:rRNA from 1 species